rnacentral:rRNA from 1 species
CCUACGGGGGGCAGCAGUGAGGAAUAUUGGUCAAUGGACGCAAGUCUGAACCAGCCAUGCCGCGUGCAGGAAGACGGCUCUAGGAGUUGUAGACUGCUUUUGUACGAGGGUAAACGCAGAUACGUGUAUCUGUCUGAAAGUAUCGUACGAAUAAGGAUCGGCUAACUCCGUGCCAGCAGCCGCGGUAAUACGGAGGAUUCAAGCGUUAUCCGGAUUUAUUGGGUUUAAGGGGUGCGUAGGCGGUCGGGUAAGUUAGAGGUGAAAUCCCGAGGCUCAACUUCGGAAUUGCAUUUGAUACUGUCCGGCUAGAGAGUAGUUGAGGUAGGCGGAAUGUAUGGUGUAGCGGUGAAAUGCUUAGAGAUCAGACAGAACACCGAUUGCGAAGGCAGUUUAC